AGAGUUUGAUCAUGGCUCAGAACGAACGCUGACGGCGUGCUUAACACAUGCAAGUCGAACGAGAAAAUCCUAGCUUGCUAGGGUGAGUAAAGUGGCGCACGGGUGAGUAACACGUGAGUAAUCUGCCCUUAAGUCAGGGAUAACUCCGCGAAAGCGGGGCUAAUACCCGAUAUGCUCACGACUACUGCGGUAGUUGUGAGAAAAGGUGGCCUCUGGCAUAAGCUAUCGCUUAAGGAUGAGCUCGCGGACCAUUAGCUAGUUGGUAGGGUAAUGGCCUACCAAGGCUAUGAUGGUUAGCUGGCCUGAGAGGGUGGCCAGCCACACUGGAACUGAGAUACGGUCCAGACUCCUACGGGAGGCAGCAGUGGGGAAUCUUGCGCAAUGGGGGAAACCCUGACGCAGCAACGCCGUGUGAGUGAUGAAGGCUUUCGGGUCGUAAAGCUCUGUCAGAUGGAAAGAAUUAGUCUGCUGAAAAUAUUGGCAGAUGAUGACGGUACCAUCGAAGGAAGCACCGGCUAACUCCGUGCCAGCAGCCGCGGUAAUACGGAGGGUGCAAGCGUUGUUCGGAAUUAUUGGGCGUAAAGCGCGUGUAGGCGGAUGAAUAAGUCAGGUGUGAAAUCCCUUGACUCAAUCAAGGAACUGCACUUGAAACUAUUUGUCUCGAGUACGAUAGGGGAGGGCGGAAUUCCCAGUGUAGAGGUGAAAUUCAUAGAUAUUGGGAGGAACACCAGUGGCGAAGGCGACCCUCUGGAUCGAUACUGACGCUGAGACGCGAAAGCGUGGGUAGCAAACAGGAUUAGAUACCCUAGUAGUCC
rnacentral:rRNA from 1 species